rnacentral:lncRNA from 1 species
AUGUUGAUUUGUAAAUCAAUUCGGCCGUGAUGCGAACGUCCCCUUCUCCACUUGUUUUGGGUAGUCCAACAAUGUUUUCGUUGAUGGACACAAAGUAGCCUUUGCUAAAAUUUACCAACAAAUAAACAUUUUCUAUCCAGAACUACGUAAGCCUUGAGUUCUCUAUUGCACUUAAAGAUACGUAGGAGAAGGAUUUAUAAAUCUUGUCAGAUCCAUUAAUAAAAAAC